rfam:Triticum aestivum genome assembly, contig: Triticum_aestivum_CS42_TGACv1_scaffold_171152_2DL
UACAUACUCCCUCCGUUCGGAAUUACUCCUCCAAGAAAUGAAUGUAUCUAGAUGUAUUUUAGUUGUAGAUACAUCCAUUUUUGUGACAAGUAAUUCCGAACAGAGGGAGUACUAC